rnacentral:rRNA from 1 species
GGGGAAUAUUGGACAAUGGGCGAAAGCCUGAUCCAGCGACGCCGCGUGUGUGAAGAAGGCCUGCGGGUUGUAAAGCACUUUCGAUGGGAACGAAAUGUGCCGGGCUAAUACCCCGGCAAGCUGACGUUACUCAAUGAAGAAGCACCGGCUAACUCUGUGCCAGCAGCCGCGGUAAUACAGAGGGUGCGAGCGUUAAUCGGAAUUACUGGGCGUAAAGCGCACGUAGGUGGCGACGUAUGUCGGGUGUGAAAGCCCCGGGCUCAACCUGGGAAUUGCAUCCGAAACUGCGUUGCUGGAGUACGGAAGAGGAGGGCGGAAUUCCCGGUGUAGCGGUGAAAUGCGUAGAUAUCGGGAGGAACAUCAGUGGCGAAGGCGGCCCUCUGGUCCAGUACUGACACUCAAGUGCGAAAGCGUGGGGAGCAAACA